AUUGAACGCUGGCGGCAGGCCUAACACAUGCAAGUCGAGCGGAUGAGUGGAGCUUGCUCCAUGAUUCAGCGGCGGACGGGUGAGUAAUGCCUAGGAAUCUGCCUGGUAGUGGGGGACAACGUUUCGAAAGGAACGCUAAUACCGCAUACGUCCUACGGGAGAAAGUGGGGGAUCUUCGGACCUCACGCUAUCAGAUGAGCCUAGGUCGGAUUAGCUAGUUGGUGAGGUAAAGGCUCACCAAGGCGACGAUCCGUAACUGGUCUGAGAGGAAGAUCAGUCACACUGGAACUGAGACACGGUCCAGACUCCUACGGGAGGCAGCAGUGGGGAAUAUUGGACAAUGGGCGAAAGCCUGAUCCAGCCACGCCGCGUGUGUGAAGAAGGUCUUCGGAUUGUAAAGCACUUUAAGUUGGGAGGAAGGGCAGUAAGUUAAUACCUUGCUGUUUUGACGUUACCAACAGAAUAAGCACCGGCUAACUUCGUGCCAGCAGCCGCCGUAACAC
rnacentral:rRNA from 1 species